GAUGAACGCUGGCGGCGUGCCUAAUACAUGCAAGUCGAGCGAACGGACGAGAAGCUUGCUUCUCUGAUGUUAGCGGCGGACGGGUGAGUAACACGUGGAUAACCUACCUAUAAGACUGGGAUAACUUCGGGAAACCGGAGCUAAUACCGGAUAAUAUUUUGAACCGCAUGGUUCAAAAGUGAAAGACGGUCUUGCUGUCACUUAUAGAUGGAUCCGCGCUGCAUUAGCUAGUUGGUAAGGUAACGGCUUACCAAGGCAACGAUGCAUAGCCGACCUGAGAGGGUGAUCGGCCACACUGGAACUGAGACACGGUCCAGACUCCUAAGGGAGGCAGCAGUAGGGAAUCUUCCGAAAUGGGCGAAAGCCUGACGGAGCAACGCCGCGUGAGUGAUGAAGGUCUUCGGAUCGUAAAACUCUGUUAUUAGGGAAGAACAUAUGUGUAAGUAACUGUGCACAUCUUGACGGUACCUAAUCAGAAAGCCACGGCUAACUACGUG
rnacentral:rRNA from 1 species